rnacentral:snRNA from 1 species
GGAGGAUUACUUGUGCCUAGGAGUUGGAGAGUGCACUGAGCUAUGAUUGCACCACUGCACUCCAGCCUGGCUGACAGAA